GAUGAACGCCGGCGGCGUGCCUAAUACAUGCAAGUCGAGCGAACAGACGAGGAGCUUGCUCCUCUGACGUUAGCGGCGGACGGGUGAGUAACACGUGGAUAACCUACCUAUAAGACUGGGAUAACUUCGGGAAACCGGAGCUAAUACCGGAUAAUAUAUUGAACCGCAUGGUUCAAUAGUGAAAGACGGUUUUGCUGUCACUUAUAGAUGGAUCCGCGCCGCAUUAGCUAGUUGGUAAGGUAACGGCUUACCAAGGCAACGAUGCGUAGCCGACCUGAGAGGGUGAUCGGCCACACUGGAACUGAGACACGGUCCAGACUCCUACGGGAGGCAGCAGUAGGGAAUCUUCCGCAAUGGGCGAAAGCCUGACGGAGCAACGCCGCGUGAGUGAUGAAGGUCUUCGGAUCGUAAAACUCUGUUAUUAGGGAAGAACAAAUGUGUAAGUAGCUAUGCACGUCUUGACGGUACCUAAUCAGAAAGCCACGGCUAACUACGUG
rnacentral:rRNA from 1 species